UCAAGUGAAGAAGCGCAUACGGUGGAUGCCUUGGCAGUCAGAGGCGAUGAAAGACGUGGUAGCCUGCGAAAAGCUUCGGGGAGUCGGCAAACAGACUGUGAUCCGGAGAUGUCUGAAUGGGGGAACCCAGCCAUCAUAAGAUGGUUAUCUUACACUGAAUACAUAGGUGUAAGAGGCGAACCAGGGGAACUGAAACAUCUAAGUACCCUGAGGAAAAGAAAUCAACCGAGAUUCCCUUAGUAGUGGCGAGCGAACGGGGACCAGCCCUUAAGUUGUAUUGAGAUUAGCGGAACGCUCUGGAAAGUGCGGCCAUAGUGGGUGAUAGCCCUGUACGCGAAAAUCCCUUUGCAAUGAAAUCGAGUAGGACGGGGCACGAGAAACCUUGUCUGAAUAUGGGGGGACCAUCCUCCAAGGCUAAAUACUACUGACUGACCGAUAGUGAACCAGUACCGUGAGGGAAAGGCGAAAAGAACCGCGGAGAGCGGAGUGAAAUAGAUCCUGAAACCGUAUGCGUACAAGCAGUGGGAGCCCACUUUGUUGGGUGACUGCGUACCUUUUGUAUAAUGGGUCAGCGACUUAUUUUCAGUGGCGAGCUUAACCGAAUAGGGGAGGCGUAGCGAAAGCGAGUCUUAAUAGGGCGUCUAGUCGCUGGGAAUAGACCCGAAACCGGGCGAUCUAUCCAUGGGCAGGUUGAAGGUUGGGUAACACUAACUGGAGGACCGAACCGACUACCGUUGAAAAGUUAGCGGAUGACCUGUGGAUCGGAGUGAAAGGCUAAUCAAGCUCGGAGAUAGCUGGUUCUCCUCGAAAGCUAUUUAGGUAGCGCCUCAUGUAUCACUGUAGGGGGUAGAGCACUGUUUCGGCUAGGGGGUCAUCCCGACUUACCAAACCGAUGCAAACUCCGAAUACCUACAAGUGCCGAGCAUGGGAGACACACGGCGGGUGCUAACGUCCGUCGUGAAAAGGGAAACAACCCAGACCGUCAGCUAAGGUCCCAAAGUCAUGGUUAAGUGGGAAACGAUGUGGGAAGGCUUAGACAGCUAGGAGGUUGGCUUAGAAGCAGCCACCCUUUAAAGAAAGCGUAAUAGCUCACUAGUCGAGUCGGCCUGCGCGGAAGAUGUAACGGGGCUCAAACCAUGCACCGAAGCUACGGGUAUCACCUUUGGUGAUGCGGUAGAGGAGCGUUCUGUAAGCCUGUGAAGGUGAGUUGAGAAGCUUGCUGGAGGUAUCAGAAGUGCGAAUGCUGACAUGAGUAACGACAAUGGGUGUGAAAAACACCCACGCCGAAAGACCAAGGUUUCCUGCGCAACGUUAAUCGACGCAGGGUUAGUCGGUCCCUAAGGCGAGGCUGAAAAGCGUAGUCGAUGGAAAACAGGUUAAUAUUCCUGUACUUCUGGUUAUUGCGAUGGAGGGACGGAGAAGGCUAGGCCAGCCUGGCGUUGGUAGUCCAGGUUUAAGGUGGUAGGCUGAGAUCUUAGGUAAAUCCGGGAUCUUAAGGCCGAGAGCUGAUGACGAGUGUUCUUUUAGAACAUGAAGUGGUUGAUGCCAUGCUUCCAAGAAAAGCUUCUAAGCUUCAGGUAACCAGGAACCGUACCCCAAACCGACACAGGUGGUUGGGUAGAGAAUACCAAGGCGCUUGAGAGAACUCGGGUGAAGGAACUAGGCAAAAUGGCACCGUAACUUCGGGAGAAGGUGCGCCGGUGAGGGUGAAGCAUUUACUGCGUAAGCCCACGCCGGUCGAAGAUACCAGGCCGCUGCGACUGUUUAUUAAAAACACAGCACUCUGCAAACACGAAAGUGGACGUAUAGGGUGUGACGCCUGCCCGGUGCCGGAAGGUUAAUUGAUGGGGUUAGCGCAAGCGAAGCUCUUGAUCGAAGCCCCGGUAAACGGCGGCCGUAACUAUAACGGUCCUAAGGUAGCGAAAUUCCUUGUCGGGUAAGUUCCGACCUGCACGAAUGGCGUAACGAUGGCGGCGCUGUCUCCACCCGAGACUCAGUGAAAUUGAAAUCGCUGUGAAGAUGCAGUGUAUCCGCGGCUAGACGGAAAGACCCCGUGAACCUUUACUAUAGCUUUGCACUGGACUUUGAAUUUGCUUGUGUAGGAUAGGUGGGAGGCUUUGAAGCGUGGACGCCAGUCUGCGUGGAGCCAACCUUGAAAUACCACCCUGGCAACUUUGAGGUUCUAACUCAGGUCCGUUAUCCGGAUCGAGGACAGUGUAUGGUGGGUAGUUUGACUGGGGCGGUCUCCUCCUAAAGAGUAACGGAGGAGUACGAAGGUGCGCUCAGACCGGUCGGAAAUCGGUCGUAGAGUAUAAAGGCAAAAGCGCGCUUGACUGCGAGACAGACACGUCGAGCAGGUACGAAAGUAGGUCUUAGUGAUCCGGUGGUUCUGUAUGGAAGGGCCAUCGCUCAACGGAUAAAAGGUACUCCGGGGAUAACAGGCUGAUACCGCCCAAGAGUUCAUAUCGACGGCGGUGUUUGGCACCUCGAUGUCGGCUCAUCACAUCCUGGGGCUGAAGCCGGUCCCAAGGGUAUGGCUGUUCGCCAUUUAAAGUGGUACGCGAGCUGGGUUUAGAACGUCGUGAGACAGUUCGGUCCCUAUCUGCCGUGGACGUUUGAGAUUUGAGAGGGGCUGCUCCUAGUACGAGAGGACCGGAGUGGACGAACCUCUGGUGUUCCGGUUGUCACGCCAGUGGCAUUGCCGGGUAGCUAUGUUCGGAAAAGAUAACCGCUGAAAGCAUCUAAGCGGGAAACUUGCCUCAAGAUGAGAUCUCACUGGAACCUUGAGUUCCCUGAAGGGCCGUCGAAGACUACGACGUUGAUAGGUUGGGUGUGUAAGCGCUGUGAGGCGUUGAGCUAACCAAUACUAAUUGCCCGUGAGGCUUGACCAU
rnacentral:rRNA from 4 species